rnacentral:rRNA from 1 species
CGGAUUGCAUGGGGGGAACCCUGAUCAGCCUGCCGCGUGUGUGAAGAAGGCCUUAUGGUUGUAAAGCACUUUAAGCGAGGAGGAGGCUCUCUUGGUUAAUACCCAAGAAGAGUGGACGUUACUCGCAGAAUAAGCACCGGCUAACUCUGUGCCAGCAGCCGCGGUAAUACAGAGGGUGCGAGCGUUAAUCGGAUUUACUGGGCGUAAAGCGUGCGUAGGCGGCUUUUUAAGUCGGAUGUGAAAUCCCCGAGCUUAACUUGGGAAUUGCAUUCGAUACUGGGAAGCUAGAGUAUGGGAGAGGAUGGUAGAAUUCCAGGUGUAGCGGUGAAAUGCGUAGAGAUCUGGAGGAAUACCGAUGGCGAAGGCAGCCAUCUGGCCUAAUACUGACGCUGAGGUACGAAAGCAUGGG